AGGGCUAGAGCCAAAAAGCAAGGCCCGUCUGUGCGGAAGGAGUGCGAGGAAAAGCUAGAUGGCAGGAGCCAUUUCAUCUACAAGCUCCCACGCCGAAGCAACAAGGACUGUGCCGCUUGUAGCGAUCGAAAAACAAACGGAGGCAGGAGGGAAACUGUGUUUUUCUGCAAAACCUGCAGUAACAACCCAGGCCUGUACCCUGGAGAAUACUUCGAGCGGUAUAACACGCUGCUCAAAUAUUGGCAGAGGAGUUGCCUGCAGAAUGCAAUGGAAAAAAUGAAUAUCCUGGGAGUUUUUCUUCCACAGUUGGUGGUUUUGUUAGCGGCGCCACAAACUGGCAAAAUAGUUUCGGACCAGAACAGCCGGGAAGUGGAUAAAAGUUUCGGACCACAAAGGGUUAAUUGCAGGAACACUGUGUGAAGCGGCAGCUUGCAAGUUUCUACUUGUCAAGCUUUUCAGGUAUGCUGCUAGAGAAUGCCUAAAGUUCAGAACACAAACUAGUAGUAAUCGCAUGCAUUACAAGGUGCAUGACAAAUGUAUAAUCUUAAUGGUCCCAAAUUUGAUUAUGUUCUAGGUUCUUUCUGUAUGACCAGUGUGAAUAGAACGGUGGUGAUGGUGAUGAUAAAAUGGUGACCAUGAUGAGGCUUGUGGGCGUGCGGCUUUGUGCUCUCAGACAUGGAACCGCUGUGCACUGCUGUGAUUGUGGAAAACAAAAAAAUGUCAUAAUGCUGGUCUGCACAGUCUGUGAUUCAUAAUUUUUGCCAAUUCUCAAUAUGACAACACUAUUCUUCUUUAUGCUUGGGCCAGAAUUGCUGUGUCUGAUUGCCUUUCAUGCUCUCCUGUGUUUUGCUUCACACUAGCAGUACCCACAGUGCGGUUUUCUCGAUUUCUACUCUGUAGUCUGUUACAAUAUUUCACCACGAUGUAAAUGAAGGUCUGAGGAUCACGAAAAAAAGAAAAAGAAAUCGGAAAAUUGAAAAUUUUAACCAAUAUGACCACUGAACUUGCCACGUACUUCCUUAACACAAUGCAGCAAAAUCAUAUUCGGUGCGGAUAACACAGAUGUGCUAGAAGAUUAAGAAAUGUAACAGGCUUAUGUUUCUACAACUGUUCCUAUGAUGUCCCAGCGUGCCUAUCUAUAGGUUCUUCCAUUUGUAGGAAAUAUCUUGUUACCUAAUUUCAUUUUAUGCUCUGCAUCGCUCUUUUUUUAGUCUUACAAGGGUGCGAAUGGAUGAAAGGCUGAGGAACAUACGCAGAGAUGUAUCUCUGCUGCUUACAUUGUUCUUGUGCUCGAACAUGGGGAAUGACGCUGUGCUGGAGUGGAGUUUAAAAAAAUAACGGAAGCAGAGACCAGUCUCGGUGACAAGGAUGCUGCAUCGGUUGGUCUUAUACCAUAACAAUGUCCUACUUCAAAGAUGAUCUCAGCGAACUCAUACGAGUACAUGAGCGCACCGCUAGGCCUGUGGAAUAAAUUCUUGGUACCCGGUGGACCACGGAUGCACGUGACAGGCCCAGAUCAUCGCCUCUAUCGUCACUUAUCGUACAAGUCUAUCUGCACGGAAAAACAACGUAGCAACGCCCACUUCACAGGGAAUGUGCAGGGUGCCGACGACAUAAAAAGGACCAGCAGAACGAAGACCAAUUCCAGUUUGGAGGCAGUGCGCAUCGGAGUAGCAACUAAAUAUUGUGCUUGGUUUCACAGGUCAUUCCAUCUUUUAAUACAACUGCCAUCUCUUUGUGGAUAGGGAGCUUAUAAUACCCAGCAUCGGCUUGAAGCUGGCUAUUGAAUACCUGUUUCUGUCCACUACUGCUUGAUCAUCAAAUAUGGCGAGCCUUGAAUUUCUUCAUAGAACAUGAACCCAGCACCUCAGCGGAAAUGCUUCCUGCUUCUGCCGACAUCAGAAAGGACUGAUUUGUUUCCUCAUUACACAGACAGGAAAUCAAAGUCGCUAUGAGAUUACUCUGCGAGACGACCCCACUGUGUUCCUCAGUGGAAUCACAUUGCAAUGUCUCUACUCCGCAAUUAAGCUAUCAUGCCAAACUUGCCUACACACAUCAUCAGGCGCUGACGCGAUUAGUUACUUGUUAUGCAAGUCACGAGUCUCUUUCCUUGAGUCUUUACUACACUCUUUGCCAAGGAACUCUGUAUUAGUCUCCUUGUCGAGUACCUUUUUACUCAUCAUAUGUACAUAUUAUACAUAUAUAUAUAAAAGUGGUAUUUCUCAGAAUAAAAUAAUUUGAAGUUACCUUUUGUCUGUGUCUGGUUCCCUGUCUCCUAAGUCAAUGUCGUGCUUCAAGUCUACUCAAGAAAUUUGAUUUUCUUUAAUUCAGCUUAGCAGAUGAACCUGCAGCAGAACCAAGUGGAUGUGUCACAUGUAAGAGGACGAAGUUCGCAGAGCGUUCUGAACCACGAGAGUGCGCGAGGCGCGUGAACCGAGCUGUGAUCGUGGAAGAAACAGCACGGUUCGAUUAUUAUCGACGUGGCUCUUGAGCUGGAAGGUCGCCUCGUCAGCCAUGCUCUGACAACGGAAGAGCGGAGGACCCGGCCACGAAGUCGUGAGACUGGCAAGGCCCAAGUGUAGCUGUAGUCCUCGGAGACGUCCGGACGAAGCUCCUGGGACCGGCCACUGCUGCUCACGGUGGUUCCGAUCUUCUCGAGAAUCCCUCUUCCUCGGCCAAGCCCGUUCAACUGAUAAUCACCGGGGCACCGGGCUGCCACGCAGAUCGUCGUAGGGCGAAGAACACUUCAUUAGGCAAGUGACACGUCAGCGGCGGCUUCUGGAGCUCCAGCCACGUACUCGGCCAGGUCAACGGAACCGCGAGUCGUCGGCAAUUUAUGGCAUUAGCGACAACCCGAACGAACAAGACGCGAGGCCUAACUCAGCGAGUAACAUGUCAGCGGCAGCCACCGGGGCACCAGCCACGUUCUGGCCAGGUCGACGGAACCGCGAGGCGUCGGCAACUACGGCACCCGCAACGCUUCGGACGAACGAAACCGACGUAAGAAUUCGCACUUCCCUGAUUGCGGCGCAGUUAGGCCGAAUCCAGGGUGGCCAGACUCUUACGAGUCAGCGCUAGGACUGACUGAGAGAUCUUAAAGCGGAGAUAGUUAUGUUUAAGUAGUUUGUAGUUGAUCUGAGUUUGUUGUUUGAGUUCGAGUGAAGACUUUUGUUGAAUUAUAAUUUUAGUUUAGUGUGCCGCGUGCUUUUAUCAUCCCUGUACAUAUUAAAUCCUUGUUUGCUGUGCUGCCAGUUGUCUCUCCUCCAUCGAGAGUA
rnacentral:lncRNA from 1 species